GAGGGGGAUAACGGUUGGAAACGACCGCUAAUACCCCAUAUGCCGAGAGGUGAAAUGAAUUUCGCCUGAGGAUGAGCUCGCGUCUGAUUAGCUAGUUGGUGUGGUAAUGGCGCACCAAGGCUUCGAUCAGUAGCUGGUCUGAGAGGAUGAUCAGCCACACUGGGACUGAGACACGGCCCAGACUCCUACGGGAGGCAGCAGUGGGGAAUUUUCCGCAAUGGGCGAAAGCCUGACGGAGCAACGCCGCGUGAGGGAUGAAGGCCUCUGGGCUGUAAACCUCUUUUAUCAAGGAAGAAGAACUGACGGUACUUGAUGAAUAAGCCACGGCUAAUUCCGUGCCAGCAGCCGCGGUAAUACGGGAGUGGCAAGCGUUAUCCGGAAUUAUUGGGCGUAAAGCGUCCGCAGGCGGUCUUGUAAGUCUGUCGUUAAGGCGUGGAGCUUAACUCCAUUUCGGCGGUGGAAACUACAAGACU
rnacentral:rRNA from 1 species